rnacentral:lncRNA from 1 species
UGAACUUAGAGGAUUUUAAGAAGUAAUGUGUCCAGUCGAGAUUAGAGUAGCGCAACAAAUGAAGAAGGAGGAAUGAGGUUGAAAUCAUGGAUGGAUGAAAUUUAUGAAGGAUGGUGAGUUUAACUUGGAAUACCAUCCUGGUGAAACCAAUAAAGUGACAAAUGCGUUGGUGAUGUUGGAACAUGAUCUAUUAGAAUGAUUCAAG